ensembl:lncRNA
UUCCUGACCUGCAUACAGAUUUUUCAGGAGGCAGGUCAGGUGGUCUGGUAUUCCCAUCUCUUUCAGAAUUUUCCACAGUUUAUUGUGAUCCACACAGUCAAAGGCUUUGGCAUAGUCAAUAAGCCUUUUAAAAUGUAGAUUUCUCUCUCACUUUUUUUUGCCAAGCCAAGCAGUAUGUGAGAUCUUAGUUCCCUGACCAGGGGUUGAACCUGCGCCCCCUGUAGUGCAAGUCUGGAGUCCUAAGUACUAGACCGUCAGGGAAGGCUCUAAAUUUUCUUAUCAUACACUAUAUUAAUUAAAAAAAAUUCUGAACAUGUAGCCCCCAUAUAUGUAUAUAAAUUUAUUUGCAAAUAAUAGACUAGCAGUGCGACUUCCCUUUCACUUCUCACUUUCAUGCAUUGGAGAAGGAAAUGGCAACCCACUCCAGUGUUCUUGCCUGGGGAAUCCCAGGGAUGGCGGAGCCUGGUGGGCUGCCAUCUACGGGGUCGCACAGAGUCGGACAUGACUGAAGCGACUUAGCAGCAGCAGCAGCAGCAGUAAUACAUUAGCAUAAAACAAAAGUAGAAAAUGUUCAAAGUCUAAAAAAUAAUUUUAUUUAGUGACUGCAAACUAUUUAAUAGUUCUAUUCUCCCUAACAUUUUUUUAAAGAGAGUGAAGUGGUCAGAUAGGUUUAUUUUUGUGACUCUUGGCUGAAAACUUUGUGACAUAACAAUUUGAAGUGUCCUAAGGUUCAGUUUAUUUUGAAACUUGGCUUUAAGGGCUGUCAUCACUUAAAAUAUCUCAGGAGAUAAGUAAACUAGGAAGAAUCCCAUGUCUUAGCAAGUCAAACUGCUCAUUUCAGAUGUAUCCACAAGUUAUGCAAAGGUUUUAACUGAAAUCUGGCUAAAUUUCCAGCUUCUCUGAAGUCUAUCAAUCUUCCUUUUAAAAGCCAAUUAUAUAAUGUCAAGGAAUAAUUCAGAAAUAUUAGCCAGUUGUUUCACGUGCACUUCAUUUACUUGUGCAUAAGAAGAAAGGUCAAUUGACUGUCGUCAUGGAACACAAUUAAAAACAGGAUGUGUAAAAGAGAGGAGAGAGGGAAAACCCUGCUGGCAGCUGGGAAUAGUGAAUCUUACAGGCACAUUUUGGGGUAAACAGAUCAGUUGGAGACUGACAAGGAGAUCAGUCUGUGUGUUGUGAGCAGGCCGACUAGCAGUAUCAAAGAAAACAAUUAAAAUAUGGAUCCAAAAACUCUUCAUUUAGGAGAUUUUUUUUAAAGACGGGAGAAAUUUCAGUUUGUAAGUUCUGUGCUGGUAUUAGUUUUUUUUAAUGUCAUUUUCAGCAACAAAAUCACAAACAUUGGAAAGAUUUGCAAACCUCUGUUUUCAAAAAUGCUCUCUCCAUGAGAUUCAGUUCUUUUGAAAACCAAUGACUUUCUCACUCAUUGUUAAAACAUCACUGUUAUCUUGAAGGAAGAGGUUAAGUCUGUUUAUUUUUGUGAAACUCUCCUACAGCACCCUCAUGACAGCUACUAGUCAUCAUGGAAAAGAUGAGGAAAUGUGAAAUAUUUUUUGCCAAAAAACGAUUGUCAAAAUUGAUUUUUAAGUAUUUUGCCACAAUAAAUUCUGUGAUCUCUGUGUGGUACAUGAGAUUUUCAAGGUCACACCUCACCUUAUCACAACACUCUGAAAAGCCUCUCCUAAAGGCCUUGUCACCAAAUUUUACCAUGUGAUGGCAUCAAGUGGCCCGCCCGAGCCACCAUAUGCCACGGUAGACUGCACAAUGGUCCACGGACACCCAAUGACCCUCCUCUGUGGACCAUUAGUCUUUACCUCCACCCAGAUGCUAAGCUUGCCAAAAUGUAUCAUUUUGGCCAAAAAAAGUGAGUGGCGGGGAUGUUUGUGACUUCUGAGCAGGUGCUUCAGGAGCUAGUUGAUGGUCCACCAAUCUGUUUCUCUGCCACUCCCACUGGCAGAGCUCGGGUCCAGGUUGCUUCAUCAGCCUGGGUCCUCGAGCAAAAACUACCUGGCCUAGAGAAAGCAUGUCCCAAAUGUCACACGGGACGCCUCUACUAAAUAUUUGGGCAUUCUCACCCCAUUUUUUUUUUCACUGUUUAUCUGAAAUUUGUUUUAUCUGGCAUCCUUGGUUGUAAGUCACUGAUGUUUGGGGAUUGUUUGGUUUGGCUGCAAACCCAAUUUUACUGGACUGGUACAGCAGCUGACCACAGCCCAAGGAAGGCCAACUGUGUCAACUUGUAUAUUAAAUAUAUUAAUAGUAAGGCUUUGUUGUUGUUAUCCAGUUGCUAGGUUGUGUUCAACUCUUUUGUGACCCCAUAGACCAUAGCCUGCCAGGCUCCUCUGUCCAUGGGAUUUCCCAGGGGGGGUUUCAUUUCCUUCUCCAGGAGAUCUUCCCCAGCCAGGGAUCAAACCUUCAUCUCCUGAAUUGGCAAGUGGAUUCUUUACCACUGAGCCACCAGGGAAGCCCAUAAUAGUAAGGUUUGUGAGUAAGUGAUAGUCACUAUCAUGUCUGACUCUUUGUGACCCCAUAGACUGUAGCCUGCCAGGCUCAUCUGUCCUCUGAAUUGUUUGCCCUUACUCUUCAGAUUAAAAAACACAAACAAACAAAACAGAAGCCAUAGUUUUUCCUGUACCCCAGGGAAUUAUUUUAGGAGAUUGCUGUUCUAAGGUGUGGUCUGCGGGGCAAGGUGGUCAGAUGCUAGAAACUCACUAAAAACACAGAUUGCUCAGCACUGCCCCAGUGAUACCAUCUUAGAAUCUGGAGACGGUAGAGGAUCUGCUCACUUAAGUUCCUCAGGUGAUUCUAAAGCAAAUUAACAUUCCACUGGCUGGUGUUUGCAAUUUAACGUUUUUAGAGGCUAACAGUACUAGUACUCAGAGACCUGGUCCUGCCUUUGCUAUUUACACUAGAUUUGCAUGAUGUUCAGUGGGUCAAUUCUAUUCUCCUUUCUGGAUGGCACUGCUCUCAUCUAAAGAGGAAUGAGACUGACUCAGACAUCUCACAUCCUCUUCCAGCUCAAAGUCCAGGAGUGGAAGUCAGAAAAUCAGGGCCUUCCAAGGUCCAGGAGGCAACGGACAACGUGAGGCUGCGGAGGUGUAAGACACUAGGUCACGGAGGGGCCCUUGGCAAACAGAAGGACCCAAGCCCGUCUCAGAGCUCCCUGGAAUUUUCCUGUGUAGGCACAGCUGUUUGGGAAUCCCUAGGGCCAUAGGCACACCUGCCUCACAUAUAACUGUAAAAACUUGGUGAAAGACUUCUAAUUUUGCUUUGGUAAAUACUGUGUCCCACAAGUAACUAAAUGAGUUUAUGAUUGACUGACAUGUCUCUGAAAUCAUCAUAUGGGCCGGGAGGAUUUUUAUAAGCAGAGAAAAUCUAAUGCACCAAUUAUUCUAGAAUGGAACAAACUGUGUGAAUACUAACUUUAGUAAUUACGGACAUUGACACUGCAAUAUAUUGGAGACACACAUUCAUUAACAUUUUUAGCUUUUUUCUGUGAUAUUAUAUAUAUCUUGGAGCCAACAAGGUUUUUAUGUCUGAAACAUUUCGAUAAGUAUUUUAAAAGCCUGUUGGCACCAGUCAUUUGAUCUGCAUUAGCUUAAGGGCUAAAACACUUUCAUGGGCUGAUGCUGCUCUGGUACUUAUAAAACAGAUGCUCAGACAGGACAUUAUCGAGGAGCUCAGUCAGCAAGGGAGGCAGAUACAAAUAAGUAAUUUUUCUAUAGGCUUCCCUAGUGGUUCAGUGGUAUAGAAUCUGUCUGCCCUGGGUUGGGAAGAUCCCCUGGAGGAGAAAAUGGCAACCCACCCCAGUAUUCUUGCCUGGAGAAUUCCAUGGACAGAGGAGCCUGGUGGGCUACAGUCCAUGGGGUUGCAAAGAGUUGGACGCGACCUAGUGACUAAAGAAACGCCAAAAAUAACAAUUUUUCUGUAAAGGGGAAAGUGCCAGAUAAAGCUGCAUACAAGUUUCAGGAACAAACCCCAUAAGAUAAGGAGAGGGAGCGAGGUGUCAGGAGAGACUUAUUAGGGAUGACACAUGCGACGGAGAGUCUUUAGGAAUAAAUUAGCCAGGUGAGGAAGGGAAAGGUAUUCCAGGCAAAGGAGAAUCACCAGCAGUCACAGAUUUAUGGGACAACUCGCUGAAGCAGCAACGUCUCUUGAGUGGUGAUGGCAUCAGGCACUGGGGAGGCAGGGAAACAGGUGAGAGUGCUGACUGGUUACAAGGCCCAGGAUGCAGCUCCUGCAGGGCAGAGCGGGCCACAGAGGAUGAAGCCAAGGUCCAGGAUGCAGCUCCUGCAGGGCAGAGCGGGCCACAGAGGAUGAAGCCAAGGUCCAGGAUGCAGCUCCUGCAGGGCAGAGCAGGCCACAGAGGAUGAAGCACACUUGGAGGAGGUGGCCGCUGGGGGCAGGGAAGGAGGGGAAGGCAUGCAAUAUAUGUGAGCCUU